rnacentral:tRNA from 1 species
GGUGGUAUCGCCAAGUGGUAAGGCACAGGUCUGCAACACCUUUAUCGCCAGUUCAAAUCUGGCUACCACCUCCA